rnacentral:lncRNA from 1 species
GAAGCGGCCUCCACUGUCCUCCCCUAACUGUCCGCACGGCCUGUCCUCUGUAGGAGUGUCCUUGUGUACGUGUGGAGGUUGUGGACACACAUGCCUAGGGUUACAGAUGCUCUACAGACUUAACUCAGUAUAGUGAAGCUGCAGAGAUAGUCAUAGCCCUAAAGAAGCCUAUCUGAGAGCUUUCCUUUGGGUUUUACAAGAGGCAUAGAUAUUUAUUCUGCUCUUCUUUUAACAAAAGACUCCCAAAUAUUUGCUGAAGAUGUAGAGUAUUGCCAUUUCUGCUUCAAAAGCUCUGAGCCUCUCACGGCACCUGUUGCUGCUGCCCCAAGAGCGGAACACACCCUCCACACCAGCAGCCCCAGGACUAGAUUCAGCUUCUCAGUGAACCACUUCCAUGCUCCACGAUGUGCUCUGGGCUUUGGGGACUUAAAACAUCGCAGCCGCGGCAUAACAGAGAUGCGUCAGCUUCUAAAGUCGUAGUGGGCAGUUCUAGAAACCUGACCCUUUCUUCUGCUGCUACAGAUUCUAUUGGCUUCUGGAGAUUCAGAGACGUCCUUCCUCAAGAAGGAACCUCUGCCUGGCCUUCAGCAGGGCCACUGUCAUGUGCGAUAUUCACUUAGAGCCUUAUCACAUUUGUGGCUGUAGAGGUGUUUGCGUGCCUUGUUUAAUUUAUCCCACUAGACUGCCUUUCGAACGGAGCCCGGGGAGGACAGGCUGGCAGAGGAGGGAGGAGGGUUUCUAGCUGAGAGAGACUGCGGCUGUGGGCCUGCAGCCUACCCCUCUUCAAGCUCUCCGGAGCCGUUCCUGCGAAACCAGCCCCCACAAGAUGAAGAUCAAAGUCUCUACAUGGCAUGGAAGGACCCUAACCACCUUGCAUGAACCUGCAAAGGAUUUGAUGCUAGUGACAUCUGAUGAGCUCUAGGGCCAUGGGUAAAUCCCUGAAUCACAGGGAGCACCAUCUGUAAAGCAGUGAUAAUGAUACAUUUUUUCAUUUGUAAAGUGAUGAUUUAAAAAAAUAUCCUACCUCAUGGUAUCUUCAUGAAAAUGAAACAAGAUAAUGAAUGAAAAACACACUUGUUUGUCCAGUGCUUGGUAUAUAGUAGGCAUUUAAUUAUAUGUGCGUGAGUGUGCAUGUGUGUGUUUCAUGAAUUACCGCUCCCCAUCUUGCAUCACCAAAUACGUCUCAUAUCAUCCCUGCAUUUUUAUGCCAAUAUUUCUUUAACCUCAAAGCCCUUUCCUCCUUCUCUUUGGCUUGGCAAACUCUUACAAGUUUG